rnacentral:lncRNA from 1 species
AACAUCUAUAUUCAUUCCCCUGAAUUCAUCAAUUUGUCUAAAAACAAAAACCAUAAAAAGGAAACUAUACACACAUUCAAAUGAGUCCUGUUUAAUUUCUGACAAAGAGUUCUUGCCUUUUUCCUGAAUAUUGAGGACACAGGAGUUUGGGGUUGCUAGUGCCAACCUAAAGAGGAGUUCUAAAAUUUAAAACAAGUAAACUACGUAAUGUUACUAAGAGAAACAUUACUUGUGAAAACAUUUUGCUCAGAGUCCGGCCAAAAUCUGCCUAAAACUGGUCUCGUUUUUAGGCGCCCGCUCUUUAGACUUAAAUCUUUAAAACCCCUGCUUUCUGCACCCUUGGUUCCUUAGCUUUCAGUGGAUUUCUUCCUUUUUUCAUUCUAAAUACUCAACUGUCCCAGCUGGAGCGCCUCUGUACAUGCAGCUGCCAGUUACAGUGUCCUCUUCCCUUACUACACCUUUAUUUUUGGUUUCUUUUCUUCAGGAGCCCAGCACUCCAGAACAAUUCCUUGGCUUCCUGUGUCAUCUACUCUUCAGGUGAAAAGCUGCUUAAAUGUGUCCUCACGGUCUUGUCACUAGAUACCAAUUUAAGGCUCAGUUUGGGACAUACUUAUUCCCUGGGCUACCUCUCAGAUGCAUAUUGGUGAUAUUUUACAGAAAAGUGAGUGAAAGUUGCUUUUCCCUGCUGCCCCUAGUGGAGUCCAUUAAUUAUGCAUUUAUGUCAGCUGUCGCUGUCACACUGGGAGAAGGGAAGCCAUAUGGACAAAAAGGAUCAUCCUGGCCAGGAGGGCUCUGGAUACUGGCAUCAGCAGCUGAAGGGUCCUGGGCGUUGCCCUUAAGAGCUGUCUCUCUUCCCUGUGAGUCUGGUUUGGGGACAAGAGGGGAAAUGCCUGCCAGAGGGUUAGGGAUUUUUGCCAUUAGCAAGGAACUGGAGUCUCUUCCUGUCUUUUUCUAUGACACUUGCCUGAGAAGGAUUCUGCAUUGUGCAGAAGGCUAAAAGCAGAGUCACACGUUCUCUGCUAACAGACUUGUUGCCAUGGGAACCAAUGCAGAAAAACGAAAAUAAGACUAGAAGUGAAAAAUCAAAUGUGGAAAAAAAGAAUUGCCACGGAAUUGGUUUCUACAUGGCAAUUUGGGCAUUUGGGAUUUAAAGAAAGAGCCCGUUCCCCAAGUGGUCAGAUCAAUGGAAGUGGACGAACUGCCGAGCUGGUCGCUGAUCCCAGGAGGCCAGAGAUAGUGGUGCAGGGAGAGAGUGGUGUGGAGGUUGCAGCUUGCAGGAGGGGAACUUUGUAAAAUCCAGUUCCAUCCCGAUAAAGGUAAGCUCUUCAGCCCAAAUGUUCAGCUAACUGUAUGAUCAGACAUGCCCCUCGGGAAAACACAUCUAUGCUUAGCUCCAUAAACAAAAGCAGCCUGCUGUAACAAUCCUAACCUUCCACAGCCAGCACACGUUACCUGACAAGAUUAUUGCACAACUAGCAUAUUAUUGCUUGAAGCAUCUUUCCAAAUAUUCAAAAACAGGGCCGGGGAUUUAGGCCAGUGGUUCCGUCGCCUGCCUCGCAAGCGCAAGGACCUGAGUUCGAUCCCCGGUACCAAAAAAAACAACAAAAAAACAAAGAGUGACAAUAACAAACCCCACACCUUGCAAAUGGGCAGCUCCCAUCCCCCACAAGAUAAGCUAUUAUAAGUAACUUAAAAUUUACUUAUUAGGGAAAUAAUUAUUUCACUUCGCUUGAUACAAGUCCUCCCUGUAUUCUGGACUUGAUAAUAAAUUGAUUGAAGUAGACUAUAGGACCCCAGGAAAAUCUUCAGCACGGAUUUAAGUUUCACCCUAAUCUGAGAAAAACAGACAUUUGUGUUGUAUUUUCAGAGGCUCCGUGGGAACUGCACCUGUGUUGUCCCCAAGCCUCCCCAAAGGUUAUUUCCUGAAAUUCUAUAAUUAAUGCUUUAUUCCUGUGGCUGUAGCCUGGGCCUGUAUUGAAAUGCAAUUACCCUCAGGAGCUGGGGAAAGGUCACACUGUUGAUGACUUGAUUCCCCAGAGAGCUAAGUUUCAGACAGUACUAAGACUCUUCACCUUAACCCUCCCAUCCUCCCUCAAACACAGACGGAGAAGAAACUAGGAACACAACAUCCACCUGUACAACAGGUAGGGAUGCGGCCCAGGAAGCAGAUUACCUACCAGGUAUGGCUUACCAGGUAAGUUCCAUCUUUAGGGGACAUCUCACGACAAAUGCCCUGAAUAACUUUGCUCUUUGUGUCCAAAGUACACUGCACAUAGAUUUCACUAGAAACACUUUCUUACUGAUGACUUCCUGCCUAUUUGAGCUCCUUGCUGAAGCCUUUACCAAUCUUCAAUUCUUGCAAUAACAAAAGCCCAUUAGGUUAUCUUCUUCUAAGAGUACUUUCACAACUCCAAAAUCCAAUAAAAUACCGGUGUUUUCUCCCACUUGUGAUCUGGAGGCACGCUCCACAAUGCACACAGGACCCUACCCAGAGGUUUGAGUACAGUGGUCUCCCUGAUGUUAGCCAAUUUCUUAUGCCAACAUUUCGGUGAAUUCCAGGAGUGGAGACACACAUGCUUGGUUUUGGCAGGUGGGAGUUAUUAUAAAAAGCCUUGAUUUUCUCUUCUUUCUUUUCUUUUCUUUUCUUUUUUUUUUUUUUUUUAACUAAGAACAGAGAAGUAGAUUGCUUUCCGAGAUAGGCCAAUAAAACAUACUCGUAUCUUCACAAGCAGCUAUGCCUUUGAAUUUGCCAUAUGAUAAAGAGGAGAUGGAUGCUUCUCAUUUCUAUAUGGUCUUUCUACAAGCACCUGAUGCCUGGAGAGAGACUAUCUGGUCACUCCUGAAAAAGGAUUAGCUCUUGCCACAACCCCUCUGAUCUAACCGGUAGAUCAUACCUUGAGCUUCUCCAGCAGAGGAGAAGUCACCCACCACUACCUUAUUUAGUAAUUUUUAUCGCAUUUGUUCAUUCCUCAGACAAGAACAACUUAAAACUUAACAACAAAUCUCGUAAGGUACUGAAAAUUAAAAUUCUACUCCUUUCAGUUUUUAAAAGUUGAUUUGACCUCUUAACCCUACAAGGUUAUACAAGUGAUUCUCCACAGUAUCAUGUACCUUAAAAUGUCAUAGAUGUAACUUGCAGUUUUUUCUAGUUUAUCACAUAGCUCAGUAUUUCACAAAAGGAUCAACUUCUUUGACAUUAAGAUUGGUUUUUCACUACCACGGGCAUUUGGAAAUUAAGAGAUUUGGAACCAUUAGUGGCAUAAUCAUUCAGUGUGGCAGGCAUUGUGUUUUACAGAACUAACUUUUAAAACCCAACAGCUCUCCCAUAUUGGCCACUGAAUAUACAUAGUGAUAUAGGGAUUUUUUUCAAUACCUUCCACCUGGAUAUCCAGCAUAUUCUCAAAGUGUUAUUUGAAGGUCAAGAGCCUUUGAAUAACUAUUUUCAAAGCACAAUCUUAUUUUCAAAUGUAUGCACACUGCAUAAUCCAUUACAUGCUUUUGAUAAAUUCAUAUUUCCUAAGAUAAUGCAAAAAGUCCAGAUCAAGGCUAAAACUCACCCAUUGUUUGAACCUAUCUUUAUUAUAUAGCUGCUGUUCCACCUUUUGGCUAACCCUAAAGCAUUAAGAAGCUAAUCCUAACAUGAAUAAAAAACUUUGAUUUUUAACCUUAAACAGCAAAGACUGGUAUUUUGUUGGAAAUAAACAAAUUCUACUGUUCAACUUGCCAAUGGCGUUUAAUAUCUGAAGAGAUUCCUCCUUUGGACUAACUUUUGGGAAUUUGGAACACUGUCACUUUUCAGCACUUAGGAAUGCUGCUGGGCAGCUGCAAUUGGCAGUCCUGGGGUGCCCCGAGAGAAGGUCUGGUGGGGCUGGCCACACUGGGCUUCCCACUGGCCACUGAAGAGGCACACAUGGGCUUGAUCUAUGCCUUCCUCAUUCUAGGCUCUCUGUAGUUUAUUUCCUAGAAAACAUUAUCUUAAGUGUUGUUCAAGUUGCAUUCCUUUUUUUAUUUUGUACUGAGGAUCGAACUCAGAACCUUGUGCUUGUGAGGCAGGAGCAAUGCCACUGAGCUAAAUCCCCAGCCCACUCCUUUCUGAGUGGUAUGUGUCCUAUCCUGUCCUUACACACAAAGCCCCCUCCUAAGAAUAGGGCGUUUGCUGACAAUAGAGCAAAUCUUUCUCCUGUGUAUAGGUGCAUGGUAAGUGUUCAGAAUAUGGUAAGUGUCCAUGAGAAGUAUGUACAUUUUUAUUAGGUAUUUAGACCACAAGUGAUUCUUUUAAUGAAAAGGGACACUGAAGGUUAAUUUCUAUUCUUUCCUUCCCUGGGAUGAAUUCCUCCCAUUAGAGCAGUAGGACUUGACGCCAAGCCUUAAGAUGCCUAUUGCCCUAUGACUUUGACCCCAAAUGGUUACCUCCUUGGAGCGGGACAAAGUGAAAGCAAAGUGGAAAGCUAGAGGUCAGCCAGCCUGUGACUAUUCCUUCCCCAUAUGAUUCAUUCAGGAAGAUACUGCAGUUACCUCUGUCUUGUCACCUGACACUUGGACUUUUUGAGAAGAAAUUUUAUCUAUUUAUCUAUCCUCUUAUCUAUCUGUCAUCUUUCUAUCUUUCAUCUAUCUACCAUCUAUCAUGUAUCUCCAGGAACCUAUCUUCAUAAAGAAAUUACAAAUGUUCCUUAUCCAUAUCAUAAAAACAAUAAAGCUGAAAAUAGGCAUUUGCCAUUUUAGGACACCUCAGGAGAAAGUGACAACACAUUGUUUUCCGUCCUCCCCUCAUGUUUUGUAGCUACGCAGCGCAUUAAUUAGACUUUUUAUGUGUUUUUGUCUCCCCACUAGAUUGUGUUUCCUGAGGGUCUGGCCAUGGCUUAUUUACAUUGUUAUCUUUCACUGUUCUCAUUAUAGAACUUGGAACGUUCUUUGCUCAUUCACAUUGGAUGAUUAAAUUGAAUGUGCAGUAAGAAAAAGAUGUUUUUAAAUCAAUGACUUUUUAAAAAUCCGAGGAUAAACGCUAAAGCCAGAGGGCAAACCCCAGCUUGGAGCCACAUUAGGAGGGAACCGAGUCUCCCCUCCUCCUAGGGGCUGCAGUGGGCGGCGCUUGCGCGCUGAGCAUGCGCCUGGGGCUCCAGUCAACCCAGGUCCCCGCUCCUCCCUGGGCUCCAUCUCUUCAGCUCUGAGGGUCUGGAUGAACUCUCACAGUAGGAGUAAGUAUCAGGGGGUAGAUGAGCACGGUGGGGAUGUUUAUGGAAGGGUUUUUUCAAAGGAAAGAAAAAGACAUAGUCCCUCAUCUUGAAGUAGACUAUGAUGACCUAGGGCCCUAGGUCACAGGGAUGGGAACUAUCGUUUUUAGGAAAUAUAUGGAAAGGGGUGGACCCAAUAGUGAGAGAGAUGGAGCAGCAGAGGGGUGGUGUGCGUGUGUGGAGACAGAGUCUGGGGGAGGGAGGAGAGAGAGAGAGAGAGAGAGGGAGCCAAGUUCGAAUUUUUUGGGAAAUGGUCGCGCAGAUCUGCAGUGCUGGGAGCAACAUUCACAGUUUGGUAAAAGACAGCAGAGUGAUGGCCUGCCAAGAAUCUGGAUCCUAAGGAGACCGAGUGGCCCUAUCAAGUACAAAAUCCCUCUUGCUGAUAGAACGACCCCACAGGUAUGCCUGAAGAACUAUCAAAGAUGGCUGGUUUUGAAAUGAGUCAACGGCGUCCAGGGAAGAGAAGUGUUACACGUGAGGAAUAGUAUCCAAGAUGAUAAUGGAGAGGAAACAACCAAAGUGAAGCUUUGCUUGUGACGACCACUCCUUUCUCAGGGAGGGACACAGCCGGCCCACCUGCUUCUUGGGGAGGAGGAGGGUGCAGGGGAGGCCACAGAGCCCCACAGUGUCCCCAAUUCUCUUCCUGUAGCUCCAGAGUCCACUCUACUGCCUCUAAGUGGUUCCCAUUCGUCCUGCAUGCCUCGCAACCUCUUCCAUCAUGGCAGGAGUAGAAGAUGAUAAUGUUGUUCAUCAUUGUGUGGUUCAGAUAGGGGAAAUAAAGGACAGCAAUAAGCCACCAGCCCUCAGGCUCUUAGACAAACAUCAUCGCAGCAAACAAGGGAGCUCUGCCAGCUGCUGACCUAGUGACAGCUACCAGGAAGAAAACACUCAGAUUAGCCAGAUGUGAUGAAGCUAAAAACCUGAGUAGUUGAUACCAAAAGUCUACAGGUAGUAGACCAGGAGCACAAAGAGAAGCAGAAG